UACGUAGGGGGCUAGCGUUGUCCGGAAUCAUUGGGCGUAAAGCGCGUGUAGGCGGUCCGGUAAGUCCGCUGUGAAAGUCGGGGGCUCAACCCUCGGAUGCCGGUGGAUACUGUCGGGCUUGAGUACGGAAGAGGCGAGUGGAAUUCCUGGUGUAGCGGUGAAAUGCGCAGACAUCAGGAGGAACACCAAUUGCGAAGGCAGCUCGCUGGGACGUUACUGACGCUGAGACGCGAAAGCGUGGGGAGCAAACAGG
rnacentral:rRNA from 1 species